rnacentral:tRNA from 1 species
GAAGGUAUAGCUCAGGGGUAAGCACGUGCUUAGCAUGCACAAGGUCCUAGGUUCAAUCCCCAGUCCCUCCA